GUCUUCGAGGAUCAAUGGUGAUCGUCCCGUUCGCUUUCGUGCUCUCAUAGUUUAUCGCGGGAAGGUGAGGGUUCGAUUCCUUCCGAAGACG